rnacentral:snRNA from 1 species
GUAUGUGAGGGUGAUCUGGCUGCAACAUCUGUCACCCAUUGAUCUCUAGGGUUAAUUUGACUGAUCUGGAUGGCUAGGUGGGUAUCCCCUUCCUCCCUCACUACUAAAUGUGCGCAUCCCUUCUGAAGCUGUGGGAACCCGAAUAGAGGAAGACUGUUUCCUCUGUCAAGGGUGUAUGAGUAGCUGCAAACUCUCAAAGAUCCUUUUGCAACUGGUUGUUAUGU